GCUGGGGGCAGUGGUGUGUACCUGUAGUCCCAGCUACUUGGGAGGCUGCAGCAGGAGGAUGGCUUGAAGCCAGGAUUUCUGUGCUGUAGUGCAUUAUGUUGACGGGGUGUCCACACUAAAUUCAGCACUAAUAUGGGUGAACCCCAAGGAGCAGAGGACCACUAGGUUGCCUCAGAAGGGGUGAACCAACCCAGGUCAGAAACAGAGCAGGUCAAAACUCAGGUGCUGCUCACUAGUGAGAUCGUGCCUAUGAAUAGCUACUGCACUCCAGCCCAGACAACAUAACAAGAUCUUGUCUGUA
rnacentral:SRP_RNA from 1 species